CUGGAACGACCCAGGGAGGACAUGGUCUGGCCUUGGACCUUGAAGAGGAGACAAAAGAAGAUAGGAUGACAAAGCAGAAGACCAGAGAGAAAGAGAUUUGAAGAUGCUACCCUGCUGGCUUUGGAGAUGGAAGCAAGGGCCAUGAGCCAAGAGGUGUAUGUGGCUUUUGGAAGCAGGUAAAGGCAAGGAUAGCCCCUGGAGCCUCCAGAAGGAGCCAGCCCUGCUGACGCCUUGACUUUAGCCUAGUGAAACUGAUUGCUGACUUCUGGCCUCCAGAAUGAUAAGAGAAUACAGUUGUGUUUUCUUGUUUGUUUGUUUUGAGACAGGGUCUUGCUCUGUCACCCAGACUGGAGUGAGUGGGUCCAUUUUGGCUCCCUGAAGCCACUACCUCCCAGGCUCAAGUGAUCCUCGCACCUUAGCCUCUCGAAUAGCUGGGACCACAGGUGCACACCACCACACCCGGCUAAUUUUUUUUUAUAGAUGGGGUCUCCCUAUGGUGCCAGGGCUGGUCUCAAACUCCUGAGCUCAAAGGAUCCUUCUGCCUUGCCUCCUAAAGUGCUGGGAUUACAGGUGUAAAGCCACCUCCACAUCUGACUCAGUUGUGUCCUUUUUUUUUUUUUUUUUUUUGUCAAGAUAGAGUCUUGCUCUGUCACCCAGGCUAGAGUGCAGUGGCGUGAUCUCAGCUUACUGCAACCUCCGCCUCCUGGGUUCAAGUGAUUCUUGUGCCUCAGCCUCCUGAGUAGCUGGGACUACAGGUGCACACCACCAUGCCCAGCUAAUUUUUCUAUUUUUUAGUAUUUCACUAUGUUGGCCAGGCUGGUCUCAAACUCCUGGCCUCAAGUGAUCCACCUGCCUUGGCCUCCCAAAGUGAUGGGAUUAUAGGUGUUGAAGCCACCACGCCUGGCCUAGUUGUGUUCUUUUAUGUCAUGAAAUUUGUGGUAAUUUUUUUUAUUAAAGUAGCCACAGCAAAUUAACACAACCACGGAGCCAGUCCCCACAGCCUGGUCAGGUGCAGCAUGAUUCCAGACAACAGCAAUGAGGAAGCCAGCCUUGUGGAGCUGAUGCCUGGCAGAGAACAUCACUAAGCAACAGGCAUCCUGAGUGCUUGGGUUUGAGGCCCAGCCUUGCUAUCUCCCAGCUGUGUGAUUUGGACCAAGUAACUCGAUCUCACCUCACCUGCCUGAUGAGAUAACAGGAUUUUGUGAGGUUUAUAUGUAUCUUUGGCUCUUGGAACAAUGUCUGGCACAGAGUAAUUUACAAGGGCUCAGUAAAUCUGUCAUUUAUGGCCUCCCCAUGUCAGCAGCUAGGUGGCUGGCCACAGCCCUCGUGGUGGAGUGAGGCUGGGAUCUGGGGCUGGCCAAUGAGAGGCCCAAGUCUCCUUGACUGGGGGAUCAGCCAUGGUCACCAGAACCAACUCACAUCAGCCCUGGACUUUGGCUGGAAGUUCUGGGAAAGAGGUGCUCUCUCCCUGUUGGGAUCUUGUUGGGAUUCUCGAGGAGCUCGGCCUGGAGAAGAUGGCGGGCAUUUUUGUCACCACGAGGGGACAGCCUGCCUGAGAAGGAAGCCAACAGGAAGGAAGGUGGAGACCAGGAUGGAGCAGGGCAGCUCUUGAUGACGUCACCAAGGCCCUAGAUCCAGACUUGCCUGAACCACCCCUUGGACUGUCUGGUUCCAGGAACCAAUCACUACCCCUUUUUGCUUUAGGAGUUUUAUCUGGGUUUCUGCCACUCACAACCAGGAGAGUCCUGACUGAUAGACAGGGACUCAAUGAACACAUGUUGAUUGAGUGACUGAGUGAGCAUUCAGGGCUCUGGCACUGUCCUGAGCCCAGUAAAUUUUGGGAUGAUUGUGUGGUCAACGAGAAGAAUGCCUGGGAGUUGGCUGGACCUGCUUUGUGUCUCUGCUUUAUGCUGUACAAGCUGCAUGUCCUUGGGCUAACGUCUUCACCUCUCUGGGCCUUGGUUCUUUCAACCAUGGUUGUGGAGAUGGCAAAACCUGAUCUUAGCCUUUUUUGAGGACUAAGUGAGUUAAUACAUGUAAAAUACUUAAAGCAGUAAGCCCCUUUUUGUUGUUGUUUGUUUGUUUCUUGAGAUGAAAUCUCGCUCUGUCACCCAGGCUGGAGUGCAGUGGUGCGAUCUCGGCUCACUGUAACCUCCGCCUCCCAGGUUCUAGCGAUUCUACUGCCUCAGCCUCCCAAGUAGGCCCUUUUGAAGCACUCAGCAAAUGGUGGCUUUUAUUAUUAUCUGAAACAUUAAUUUCCUUAAGAAAUUAUACUGUGUAGUAUCUCUUGGAAUUAAAUAGGGAGAAAUGUCCCCAAAAUCAUUAAAUAAAUAACACAACUUAGAAAACUGCAGUUUCACCAACCUAAAUUCUCAUGUUUUGCUUUGAAAUGUUGAAUACUGUUUUUUUUGUUUUUUUUUUAAGGCAGAAUUUCACUCUUACUGCCCAGCUUGGAGGGCAACGGCGCCAUCUUGGCUCACUGCAACCUCUGCCUCCCAGGUUCAAGUGAUUCUCCUGCUUCAGCCUCUCGAGUACUUGUGAUUACAGGCAUGCGCCACCACGCCCGGCUAAUUUUGUAUGUUUUUUUAGUACAGACGGGAUUUCACCAUGUUAGUCAGGCUGGUCUCAAACUCCUGACCUCAGGUGAUCCACCCACCUUGGCCUCCCAAAGUACUGGGAUUACAGGUGUGAGCCACUGCUCCCAGACAGAAACAUUAAAGUCUUUACUCACAUAGGCAGAAGAGCUAGGGCAGAGGUGAGAGGUUUGGGGCAAAUAUUUCCUGCUUCUCACCCUGGUGGACAUACCAAGUCAACCUUCGCUCUGAGAACACCUAGACAUGGCCUAGAAAGAUGAGCUGAAAUUUGAAGUUGCCCUCAGGCUUUGAGGUGGGACUCUAAUAACCAUGAUUAAUGCAUUCAGGGAAUAACAUGACAAGAAUGUCAGCAGAAAACUAGGAACUAUAAAAAAGAAUCAUAUGGAAAUUCCAGAACUGAAAAAUAUGAUACUGAAAUUAAGAUUUGCAGUUAUUAAAAUCACAGACUGUGAGCCACACUGCCCAGGUUUAAGUCCAGGCUCCAGUCUCUGCCAUGUACAAUGCCACACCUGUUUCUUUCUUUCUGUUUUUUUUUUUAAUCGAUGUAAAACUCACAUAACACAAUAAAUUAUUUUGAAAUGUACAAUUUGGCCAGGCGCGGUGGCUGUCUCUACUAAAAGUACAAAAAAUACAAAAAGUACAAAAAUUAGCCAGGUGUAGUGGCAGGUGCCUGUAAUCCCAACUACUCAGGAAGCUGGGGCAGGAGAAUCACUUGAACCCGGGAAGCAGAGGUUGCAGUGAGCUGAGAUCGUGACACUGCACUCCAGCCUGGGCGACAAGAGCAAGACUCUGUCUCAAAAAAAAAAAAAAAAAAUAUGGCUGCGUGAGGUGGCUCACGCCUGUAAUCCCAGCACUUUGGGAGGCCAAGGCAGGCGGAUCACAAUGUCAGGAGUUGGAGACCAGCCUGAUCAACACGGUGAAACCCCAUCUCUACUAAAAAUACAAAAAUUAGCCAGGCGUGGUGGCGCACGCCUGUAAUCCCAGCUACUCGGGAAGCUGAGGCAGGAGAAUUGCUUGAACUAAGGAGGCAGAAGUUGCAGUGAGUUGAGAUUGCGCCACUGUACUCCAGCCUAUUUAUUAAAAAAAUAAUAAUAAAAUAAAAUAAACACAUAAUAUGUGACUUUUUUUGUUUGGCUUCUUUCACUUAGCAUGUUUUUCAGGUUCAUCCAUGUUGUAGCAUGUAUCAGUAUUUCAUUCCUUUUUGUGGCUGAAUAAUAUUUCAUUGUAUAGCUAUACCAUGUUUUGUUUAUCCAUUCAUCCAUUGAUGAACAUCUGGGUCGUUUCUGUGUUUUGGCUAGUAUGAAUAAUGUUGCUAUAAACAUUCGUGUACAAGUUUCUGUGUGUGCAUACAUUUUCAUUUCUUGGGUACAUACCUGGGUGUGGAGUAAGUCUUUGUUCCUUUUU
rnacentral:lncRNA from 10 species